rnacentral:rRNA from 1 species
CAUGCAGUCGAGCGGUAACACAGAGAGCUUGCUCUCGGGUGACGAGCGGCGGACGGGUGAGUAAUGUCUGGGAAACUGCCUGAUGGAGGGGGAUAACUACUGGAAACGGUAGCUAAUACCGCAUAACGUCGCAAGACCAAAGUGGGGGACCUUCGGGCCUCAUGCCAUCAGAUGUGCCCAGAUGGGAUUAGCUAGUAGGUGGGGUAAUGGCUCACCUAGGCGACGAUCCCUAGCUGGUCUGAGAGGAUGACCAGCCACACUGGAACUGAGACACGGUCCAGACUCCUACGGGAGGCAGCAGUGGGGAAUAUUGCACAAUGGGCGCAAGCCUGAUGCAGCCAUGCCGCGUGUAUGAAGAAGGCCUUCGGGUUGUAAAGUACUUUCAGCGAGGAGGAAGGCAUUAAGGUUAAUAACCUUGGUGAUUGACGUUACUCGCAGAAGAAGCACCGGCUAACUCCGUGCCAGCAGCCGCGGUAAUACGGAGGGUGCAAGCGUUAAUCGGAAUUACUGGGCGUAAAGCGCACGCAGGCGGUCUGUCAAGUCGGAUGUGAAAUCCCCGGGCUCAACCUGGGAACUGCAUUCGAAACUGGCAGGCUAGAGUCUUGUAGAGGGGGGUAGAAUUCCAGGUGUAGCGGUGAAAUGCGUAGAGAUCUGGAGGAAUACCGGUGGCGAAGGCGGCCCCCUGGACAAAGACUGACGCUCAGGUGCGAAAGCGUGGGGAGCAAACAGGAUUAGAUACCCUGGUAGUCCACGCCGUAAACGAUGUCGACUUGGAGGUUGUGCCCUUGAGGCGUGGCUUCCGGAGCUAACGCGUUAAGUCGACCGCCUGGGGAGUACGGCCGCAAGGUUAAAACUCAAAUGAAUUGACGGGGGCCCGCACAAGCGGUGGAGCAUGUGGUUUAAUUCGAUGCAACGCGAAGAACCUUACCUACUCUUGACAUCCAGAGAACUUAGCAGAGAUGCUUUGGUGCCUUCGGGAACUCUGAGACAGGUGCUGCAUGGCUGUCGUCAGCUCGUGUUGUGAAAUGUUGGGUUAAGUCCCGCAACGAGCGCAACCCUUAUCCUUUGUUGCCAGCGGUCCGGCCGGGAACUCAAAGGAGACUGCCAGUGAUAAACUGGAGGAAGGUGGGGAUGACGUCAAGUCAUCAUGGCCCUUACGAGUAGGGCUACACACGUGCUACAAUGGCAUAUACAAAGAGAAGCGACCUCGCGAGAGCAAGCGGACCUCAUAAAGUAUGUCGUAGUCCGGAUUGGAGUCUGCAACUCGACUCCAUGAAGUCGGAAUCGCUAGUAAUCGUAGAUCAGAAUGCUACGGUGAAUACGUUCCCGGGCCUUGUACACACCGCCCGUCACACCAUGGGAGUGGGUUGCAAAAGAAGUAGGUAGCUUAACCUUCGGGAGGGCGCUUACCACUUU